CCUACGGGAGACAGCAGUGAGGAAUAUUGGUCAAUGGACGAGAGUCUGAACCAGCCAAGUAGCGUGAAGGAUGACUGCCCGAUGGGUUGUAAACUUCUUUUAUAAAGGAAUAAAACGAGGCACGUGUGCCUUUUUGCAUGUACUUUAUGAAUAAGGAUCGGCUAACGCCGUGCCAGCAGCCGCGGUAAUACGGAGGAUCCGAGCGUUAUCCGGAUUGAUUGGGUUUAAAGGGAGCGUAGAUCGGUUGUUAAGUCAGUUGUGAAAGUUUGCGGCUCAACCGUAAAAUUGCAAUUGAUACUGGCAGUCUUGCUUUCAGUUGAGGUCGGCGUACUUCGUGGUGUAGCGGU
rnacentral:rRNA from 1 species